GGGGCAGCACGAUGUAGCAAUACAUUGGUGGCGACCGGCGCACGGGUGAGUAACGCGUAUGCAACCUACCUAUCAGAGGGGAAUAACCCGGCGAAAGUCGGACUAAUACCGCAUAAAACAGGGGUUCCACAUGGAAAUAUUUGUUAAAGAAUUAUCGCUGAUAGAUGGGCAUGCGUUCCAUUAGAUAGUUGGUGAGGUAACGGCUCACCAAGUCCACGAUGGAUAGGGGUUCUGAGAGGAAGGUCCCCCACACUGGUACUGAGACACGGACCAGACUCCUACGGGAGGCAGCAGUGAGGAAUAUUGGUCAAUGGGCGAGAGCCUGAACCAGCCAAGUCGCGUGAAGGAUGAAGGAUCUAUGGUUUGUAAACUUCUUUUAUAUGGGAAUAAAGUGAGGAACGUGUUCCUUUUUGUAUGUACCAUAUGAAUAAGCAUCGGCUAACUCCGUGCCAGCAGCCGCGGUAAUACGGAGGAUGCGAGCGUUAUCCGGAUUUAUUGGGUUUAAAGGGUGCGUAGGUGGUUAAUUAAGUCAGCGGUGAAAGUUUGUGGCUCAACCAUAAAAUUGCCGUUGAAACUGGUUGACUUGAGUAUAUUUGAGGUAGGCGGAAUGCGUGGUGUAGCGGUGAAAUGCAUAGAUAUCACGCAGAACUCCGAUUGCGAAGGCAGCUUACUAAACUAUAACUGACACUGAAGCACGAAAGCGUGGGGAUCAAACAGGAUUAGAUACCCUGGUAGUCCACGCAGUAAACGAUGAUUACUAGCUGUUUGCGAUACACAGUAAGCGGCACAGCGAAAGCGUUAAG
rnacentral:rRNA from 1 species